GAUGAACGCUGGCGGCGUGCCUAAUACAUGCAAGUCGAGCGAACAGACGAGAGUGCUUGCACUCUCUGACGUUAGCGGCGGACGGGUGAGUAACACGUGGGUAACCUACCUAUAAGACUGGGAUAACUUCGGGAAACCGGAGCUAAUACCGGAUAAUAUUUAGCUUCGCAUGAAGCAAUAGUGAAAGACGGUUCUGCUGUCACUUAUAGAUGGACCCGCGGUGUAUUAGCUAGUUGGUGAGGUAACGGCUCACCAAGGCAACGAUACAUAGCCGACCUGAGAGGGUGAUCGGCCACACUGGGACUGAGACACGGCCCAGACUCCUACGGGAGGCAGCAGUAGGGAAUCUUCCGCAAUAGACGAAAGUCUGACGGAGCAAUGCCGCGUGAGUGAAGAAGGUUUUCGGAUCGUAAAACUCUGUUGUAAGGGAAGAACAAGUACGUUAGUAACUGAACGUACCUUGACGGUACCUUACCAGAAAGCCACGGCUAACUACGUG
rnacentral:rRNA from 1 species